UAGUCUCUCUUGCAUAUCUUUACAUCUUGUAUGUAUUUUACCAAGCACCUGUAGUUUGGCAAAAUACGAGUAACCAAAUUAACAGCUGCAUUUUAUAUACAAUCUUUAAAAUUUAUGUUACACUAGUUAACAAUAACUUUCUUUGACAUAACACUAAUUUUGCAAUUCUUUAGAGAUCGUUAAACAGGUUAGAUACGGGUAAAAGGCGGUCCACUUGUGCAGCGAUAAAAAGGGUACUCGACCCUAGCACGAAAUCCGAACGUGGAAAUACUUUUUUGUUAAGUAUGCUAUCCACGAGAUGCCUACACCAAAGCCUUAAACAAAGAUUUUUUUUUAUGAGUAGCUUCUACUUGUUUGUACCAGUCAAGAAAAAAUAGAAUACUGUUCCGAAGCUUGACCGACUGUAGGUUGUUUAAUAGAUAUAAACAUACAUCGUAAUCGCUAUAAUUAGCGAUGCAUGUGUACUGUAGCUGGAUAGUGUUACUCAGCACCACGGGAACACUCGAGUGUAUAAACAGAUGCUAGGUUGAUGUCUGCUGACUCAACGCCCCCUUACAGGUGAAUGACGCCGGAUUAAGCCAUCUUCGCAUCAACACCUGGCAGCAAGGCAGCCAGCCAUGUAAACAAAUGCUACAGCGUGCCUGAGACCAGUUGAACCCAGAACGGCCAACCUUCAUGGCAUUGGUUAUGGGCACUAACCAUUGUCACCAGGAUGCUUUUUAGCUGAGUAUUAGAAUUUAACAGUGCUUGCAUUUUCCACUUAAGGUAAGUUUUAUUGCUCUGAGCUCAGUAGAUGCCUUUAAUAUAAACAGUAAUGCCUCAAGCCCCUUGAUAAAGCUGGAGCAGGAUAUUUCCUUAUGCCUGUCACUCAAUACAAAGCAUUACUAUUCUAUAAUUUGUGUCAAAGGUAUGAGUAAUUAUCUCAUGCUGUGUUGUGAACUGCAACUUGUUUAGGAGCAAUUGAGAUUACAUACUUUUUAAUGUUUUCUGAAUAAAAAUGCACUAUCGGUUAUAGUGCUGUUAAUAAAUGCAUACAGCAUCUUAUUUAAAGUUGCUGAAAAGGUGUUAUAAUUACAGGACACAUGAAAGCUAUGCAAGUAACAUGUAUAGGAAUAUUAGUGCUAAGUAUACAGUAUUGAAAAUUCAAGACUUACUUUGUGCUUAUGUAACUAUAUAUAAUUAUACUGAGGGAGGACUGACACAACACUGUUCAAUGAUGAUAGUGAUCCUCGCAAAAUCCUGCUUGUUUUGGUCUGUCUCUUGCCUUCUUCAGUCUCUCCAGAAUUAUCCUUGAUAGACUCCACUAGGGAUGGACAGCAGCAUGAUCCCCCACAAAUUGUUGCACAGAGAGGUCUACUUUCUUCAGUAACUUGACCAGGUGGCCUAGUUUCCAGUCUGUUGGUACUAGCUCUUGUGGAGAAGGGGCUUUAAAAUCGAAGAUGUUCAAUUGCUGUACUUUUUUAAAGUCAACCUGAGACCAAUACAGCACGAAGAAAUACAGAACACUAGACAGUGACCCCAGCGCUUUUUCCUGCACCGAAAUUCAAGAGUGAUUUGCUAUGGCAGCUAAAGGCCUUUGCGCGGUCACUCUUCAUUCAUGGAGGGAAGUCACAUCCUUGCAAGUUGAACCUAUGUAUAAUGAUCAUGUAUGAAACCCAGCAAUAAAGAUCAAGCACAUCCUUCAAAAUUGAACUGCGGGUUGGGUUACUCAAGUAACCUGUAUUUUACUAUGAAAAAGACAUUUAACUUUUAUCUUGUCUUAAAGUAACAAAUUACACAGCACAUAGGUUUUCCCAUGGUAUAAACCUAGAUGUAUUCACUGUUGACAUGAAAAGACUUUACAAAUCGCAUGAGCUCAAUCUGCUACUGUAUGAAGUUAUAUUAAGUAGCAUCUCCAAAAUGUUUGUGAAUGUUAAGUUUGGGGAACUGAAAGCACUGUAGCUUUAUCAAACUUCACAUGAAUGAACAAAAAUUG